rnacentral:rRNA from 1 species
AUUGAACGCUGGCGGCAGGCCUAACACAUGCAAGUCGAGCGGAUGAAGGGUGCUUGCUCCUGGAUUCAGCGGCGGACGGGUGAGUAAUGCCUAGGAAUCUGCCUGGUAGUGGGGGAUAACGUCCUGAAACGGGCGCUAAUACCGCAUACGUCCUGAGGGAGAAAGUGGGGGAUCUUCGGACCUCACGCUAUCAGAUGAGCCUAGGUCGGAUUAGCUAGUUGGUGGGGUAAAGGCCUACCAAGGCGACGAUCCGUAACUGGUCUGAGAGGAUGAUCAGUCACACUGGAACUGAGACACGGUCCAGACUCCUACGGGAGGCAGCAGUGGGGAAUAUUGGACAAUGGGCGAAAGCCUGAUCCAGCCAUGCCGCGUGUGUGAAGAAGGUCUUCGGAUUGUAAAGCACUUUAAGUUGGGAGGAAGGGCAGUAAGUUAAUACCUUGCUGUUUUGACGUUACCAACAGAAUAAGCACCGGCUAACUUCGUG